AGUCUCUGGUCCCCGCCGAACCUCUCCCCACCUCCACCUUCCCCAUGUGCACCUUCCCCUCUCUCUUGCUUUUUGCCUGGACCGCCACCACCUCUCGUCUCCAUCCUCUCCCACCUGCCCUUUCAUCUUUCCCCUCCUCCACGCCAAGCAUCAGCGGGAGAAACCCCACAGUACACCUCCUCCCCGCCAUGGCGCCGCUGCUGCGGGCACCCCCCUCGCCGUCCGAGCCCACCAGAAGAACCGGCUCGCCGUCCUCUACGUCUAGGUGCAAGGAAUCGAGCUGGGGUUCGCUCAAUCGUCACCAACUUCGCCGUUUCUCUUCUCCGGCCGUCGCACUCCGGCAAGGAUCUCGUCGCCGUCCGGCCUUCCCCGACCCUUCCGAGCACCUCUACAGUUUCUAGGGGCUCGACGCCGUCGACUCUCCGGUGAGCCCCUGCACUAUGCACCGGCACCAUCAAGUUCUCCACGUUCAGGCGCAUCCCCGAGCCAUCUUUGGUGUCCCGGUUUGCUCGAAAUCGGGAGAUCGAAUCCUGACUGGAUCUCCCUCCGCCAUGAUUGCAGUUGCUGAAGCUCGUUCGUUUCAUGAGCUUGUUCUAAAGGCCACGCGCCACUGUUCAUUCCCCAACACCGCACCAGCCCAGUGAUCUGCAGAUGGACCUCGGCCAGAUCCGUCAGGCAGUCCAGCCCACGCGCGUCGGCCUUCCUUCGGCUGGUCAGCAUUUGCUUCUUUCCGGAUAGGAUCACGAAGUGUUGAUGUGAGAUACGACGAGUUCUCCGACAAGUUCUUCUGCAGCUUUUCACAGGCGAGCCCUCUCUCUUCACCUAUUUUACUCUCUCCCUCGCAUUGCUAUCCUUAUGUUGCGCUUCUUUAUCGAGUCACGUGUCCUAUUCCACUUGUUUACCAUAAUAAUCCUAUAUGCACCAUUCCUUAUCCAUAGCCGUUGCUUGAUGUUUGAGCCUUGCGAGUCGUAGGCGUGUUUAGGCUCUGUUGUUUAUCUCGAUCUGUUAUCGGGAUAUGUUGGGUUGUUGGGAGGUUAUCACAUGCUAUAUUAGUUGUUGGAUAUAAUCACACUUUACUUUAUUGUUAACAACUAAAAUUGUAAGCAGAGGCAUCUGUGAGCCCCUUUGCGAAAGCAUCGGAACUUUGACUUGCUAAUGUCCCCUAGGACCCGAGUUCUUGUUAUCUGUUCCGAGAUUGAGCGCUCUACCCAUGCGUGGGGACGAUUAUUGGGACCCCCCCCCCCUCACCCAUUACCUUUUCUCAAGUCAGUUGAAAAGGGGGCCACAACCUUGGUUUUAUUUGCCUAUGCCAUGUAUGCCAUGCUUUAUUACUGUUGCCUUCGGGUGUUUACUUCCUGUUGCCUUCGGGUGUUUAUAUUCAGAUCUUGUACCCGCGGGACGUUUAGCGAAAGCGUGUGGUUCGCACGCCUAGCCGCCGUCGCAAACCCUGAGUCCGCUUCGGAGUACGGCCGGACUUCGUUACGGGUAGCUUAGUUGGGUGGCCCCCCUAGACUUUCUUGUUGAACUGGGAACGGUCUUGUUGUGAGACAUCCACCUGUCGUAAGUGGGUCGAGCAUGCGUAUGGUUACAUUUGGGCAACCCCUGCAGGGUGUACAUCUUAUCGAUAAGCCGUGUCCGCGGUUAUGGACGACUUGGAAUUGCAUAGCUUGAUCAUAGAACAACUUACACCUUUAUGUUGUUGAUAAUAAUUUGCUAAUAACUUGAUUAGUAAUAUAGCAUUACUACAACCGAUACCUAAUAAAACUUGUCCACCGUUGAGUGCCUUUUACAUUGCCUCUUCGCAAUUGUUGGAGGGGAUAUGUGUAUUUGGCCGGGUUAUGUUUGUGUAGUAUUUAUCUAUUACCUUGUGCGCUCUCUUAUCUUAUCUGAGUAGACGGAUGUUGUAGUGUGUCUCUAUUGGUUAUAGUUUUGCUGCCGCUAAACCUACCAUAUAGCCCCAGGCGAUAUUUAUUUAUACUCGCUCGGCGAGCAUAGCCAUUUCUAAGUCUCGCUAAGUACGUGCCGGAGUUCGUUCCUUGGUACUUACUCUCGCCUUUCCUUUUUCUCUUUUGCUUCCUCCCUUUUGUCGGCAACCGAUGGCCCGACUUUGAUAGGUACGAGAUGACGACGUUAGCAAGGUUACCCUUCCGGCUUGGCCUGGACAGGGUUAUGGACGUCACUGGUUAUCUUCAGGACUCUUAGUCCAAUUUGUAUCUUGUCCGUACUCGGACGUAUUCGAUCUUCUGUAUGAUUUGGAUCUUUGUAUUGUAUAUUUGUAUCUUGACUCGUUGGAGUCGUUGUUGUAAUAUAUGUUUCUUGUGGGCUCUAUUGUAA